UCGACCCAAUUCAUUUACAACUCUGGCCU
rnacentral:rRNA from 1 species